rnacentral:rRNA from 1 species
GACGAACGCUGGCGGCGUGCUUAACACAUGCAAGUCGAACGGAAAGGCCCUGCUUUUGUGGGGUGCUCGAGUGGCGAACGGGUGAGUAACACGUGAGUAACCUGCCCUUGACUUUGGGAUAACUUCAGGAAACUGGGGCUAAUAUCGGAUAGGAGCUCCUGCUGCAUGGUGGGGGUUGGAAAGUUUCGGCGGUUGGGGAUGGACUCGCGGCUUAUCAGCUUGUUGGUGGGGUAGUGGCUUACCAAGGCUUUGACGGGUAGCCGGCCUGAGAGGGUGGCCGGCCACAUUGGGACUGAGAUACGGCCCAGACUCCUACGGGAGGCAGCAGUGGGGAAUAUUGCACAGUGGGCGGACGCCUGAUGCAGCAACGCCGCGUGCGGGAUGACGGCCUUCGGGUUGUAAACCGCUUUCGCCUGUGACGAAGCGUGAGUGACGGUAAUGGGUAAAGAAGCACCGGCUAACUACGUG